rnacentral:rRNA from 1 species
GACGAACGCUGGCGGCGUGCUUAACACAUGCCAGUCGAACGGAAAGGCCCUGCUUUUGUGGGGUGCUCGAGUGGCGAACGGGUGAGUAACACGUGAGUAACCUGCCCUUGACUUUGGGAUAACUUCAGGAAACUGGGGCUAAUACCGGAUAGGAGCUCCUGCUGCAUGGUGGGGGUUGGAAAGUUUCGGCGGUUGGGGAUGGACUCGCGGCUUAUCAGCUUGUUGGUGGGGUAGUGGCUUACCAAGGCUUUGACGGGUAGCCGGCCUGAGAGGGUGACCGGCCACAUUGGGACUGAGAUACGGCACAGACUCCUACGGGAGGCAGCAGUGGGGAAUAUUGCACAAUGGGCGGAAGCCUAAUGCAGCAACGCCGCGUGCGGGAUGACGGCCUUCGGGUUGUAAACCGCUUUCGCCUGUGACGAAGCGUGAGUGACGGUAAUGGGUAAAGAAGCACCGGCUAACUACGUG